UGCGCAGGCGGGCUUGUAAGUCAGUGGUGAAAUACUGCCGCUUAACGGUAGAACUGCCAUUGAUACUGCAAGUCUUGAAUAUGGUUGAGGUAGGCGGAAUGUGUCGUGUAGCGGUGAAAUGCAUAGAUAUGACACAGAACGCCAAUUGCGAAGGCAGCUUACUAAGCCAUUAUUGACGCUGAGGCACGAAAGCGUGGGGAGCGAACAGGAUUAGAUACCCUGGUAGUCC
rnacentral:rRNA from 1 species